rnacentral:rRNA from 1 species
AUGGACCAACAGCGACGGGAGCCGGCGCCGGAGACGGAGGUCACCCUGCGCGAGUUCACCGAGGCCGAUGCGGAGGCGCUCUUCGCGUGGGCGUCGGACCCGCGCGUGGUGCUCUUCCAGCGCCGCGAGGCCUACGCGCGCGUCGACGAGGCCCGCCGCUACAUCCUCGACCACGUCCUCCCGCAUCCGUGGUACCGCGCCAUCUGCGUCGGCACCGUGGUGGUGGGCUCCAUCUCGGUCAAGCCCGCGGGGGAGGAGGGCUCGUCGUCGUCGAGGGCGUCCCUGGGCUACCGCGUCGCGCACGGCUUCUGGGGCCGCGGCAUCGCGACGCGCGCGGUGCGGAUGGCCGCGUCGGCGGCGUUCGCGGAGUGGCCGUGGCUGGCGCGGCUGGAGGCGGUGGCCGACGUGGAGAACCCGGCGUCGCAGCGCGUGCUGGAGAAGGCCGGGUUCGUGAGGGAGGGCGUGCUCCGGCGCUACCUCGUGCUCAAGGGCCGGCCCAGGGACAUGGUCAUGUUCAGCCUCUCGUCGUCUCGGACCGCGACGAGAGGGCCAUGCCAAAAUUUACAAGUGAAAGAACCAUUUGAAUUGAAUAAUGAGCAGGUAUCGAAAAGCAAGACGAUAAAACGUUGA